rnacentral:rRNA from 1 species
AACGAACGCUGGCGGCAUGCCUAACACAUGCAAGUCGAACGAGACCUUCGGGUCUAGUGGCGCACGGGUGCGUAACGCGUGGGAACCUGCCCUUAGGUUCGGAAUAACUCCCCGAAAGGGGUGCUAAUACCGGAUAAUGUCUUCGGACCAAGGAUUUAUCGCCUUUGGAUGGGCCCGCGUUGGAUUAGCUAGUUGGUAGGGUAAAAGCCUACCAAGGCGACGAUCCAUAGCUGGUCUGAGAGGAUGAUCAGCCACACUGGGACUGAGACACGGCCCAGACCCCUACGGGAGGCAGCAGUGGGGAAUAUUGGACAAUGGGCGAAAGCCUGAUCCAGCAAUGCCGCGUGAGUGAUGAAGGCCUUAGGGUUGUAAAGCUCUUUUACCCGGGAUGAUAAUGACAGUACCGGGAGAAUAAGCUCCGGCUAACUCCGUG